AUGUCUCUAUUAGUCAGCUUUGCUGAAGUAACAAACAACCCUCAAAAUUUUAGUGGCUUGCACCAACAUAUAUUGCUCUUAUUAAUGUCAGCAACUGCAGAUUUGCUACUUCAGCUCUACCCUACGGUGUUUUUUCCUUGCAGGCCCCAUGUGUCUUCUCAUUCUGGAAACCAGGCAGAAAAGACAGCCCUUUAUGAGAUAUGCCAUUCUUGGGGCAGAAGGAAAGAGCUAGACCCUGUUAACUUAAAUAACCUCCAUGGAUGUGGCAUACGCAAGUGCUCAAGCCAGACACAGGGUGUCACAGCACCUAGAUACAACAUGGCAACCAAGCAAGGCUAUUCCUCAGGAAAACUGUAAGGUAACAGCCAGUGUCAGUUGCCAAACACAUGAGUGAAGAAGCCUUCAUAUUAUUCCAACUCCAGCCUUAGAGCCUUCUAGCUGAGGCCCCUUCAUCACAGUAGAGGUAAGCCCUCCCUAUCCUUUCCUGUUUGAAUUUUUGAUCCAUAAAAACUGUGAGAAAUAAAUAUUUAUUUUUGUUUUAAGUCA
rnacentral:lncRNA from 1 species